ACAAGUCGCUUUCUUGUUCGUCGUUUUCAAUCUGGGUAUGUUUCUUUCAGAUAUCUGCUUCUGAAUCUGUUAACUUGCCUCAAUUUCCAAACCCAAAAAUGGGAUUUUUAAUAAUAUUUUCAUGGGUACGAGGUUUGUCGACGGUCAUAAGUCUGGAAUGAAUCCACAGACGACUCAUGCUCUACCACCAGGAUCAUCUUCCAAUUUGAUUCGUUAGGAUGCACAUUCUACACUAGUACUUCUUUUCCUCUGUCCAUUGAUAGUGUGAUGAGUCGGUUUGCUGGGGAUGGGAAUCCCGGUUAUUUAGAUGGGUAACAGCCGGUUCAGCAAACCUCGUGGUAGGGAAUGUCUAUGUUGCUGAUAAGAACAAAUAAAGCCAUACGCAAGAUUAGCUCUCUUCAGAUAAACCUAAAGGAGGAGGAUUAGCUCGAAAUCUCUCAUACUAGUUUAGGGUCAUACUCUCUUUGGUCAGUAGGGAUUGUCCUCUCAUGCUUUCUCGGUUUAGCCAUUGGAUUUGCUACUCGCCCUUACAUCAUUCGUCAUACAGGAAGAAGCGAAUCACCACCACUCGUUUCAUCAUGACAUGGAAGCUUCUCCUAAUUAUCAAAUUAGAUUAGAAAGUUCGAUGGUAUCUCCCCUUUUCUUCAUGUGUCAACGGUCAACCCAACAAUGUAGCUAUCUUAAACAAGACAGACACGUUACUAAGUAGACAGCAACUUAGAGCCGCCGCUCUCUCUGGAACCUUCUGAUGAUGUUAUGGACCUGAUUACAUUUGAUGAUGCACAAGAAACUAAUAAUGAUGAAGAGUGCAGUGAUCAGGAGACUGACAUUGCUUUGACUCUUCCUCGUGCAACCAUAGAUGACAUGAUAAACGUUCAGAUUCAAAGAUGGCUGAGAACAGCGCUGCAGUUAUUCCUCUGCUGACUAGGCUUUUGUUUUUGUUUAAAAGCAGAGGAAGUAUGUGUCUUCAGUAAAAUUGUUAAUGUUCUUGGAACUAAAAUAGCUUUGUGCUGAACGUGUUCAAAUCAAAAAUGUUCUUGGAAUUUCAAAUCAAAAAUUCCUUGUAGGCUCCACUGCUCAGAUUAGCAGAACUUUUGAUUUGUCAUCUAAGUUAAAUGCAUUGUAUUUAUGUUAUGCAUUUUAAUAGGGAAAAUCGCAUUUUAAACC